rnacentral:rRNA from 1 species
ACGAGAAAGUGGUAGCAAUACCAUGAGUAAAGUGGCGCACGGGUGAGUAACACGUGACUAACCUACCCUGGAGUGGGGGAUAACUGAGGGAAACCUUAGCUAAUACCGCAUAAUACCUACGGGUCAAAGGAGCAAUUCGCUUUGGGAGGGGGUCGCGGCCGAUUAGUUAGUUGGCGGGGUAACGGCCCACCAAGACGAUGAUCGGUAUCCGGCCUGAGAGGGCGCACGGACACACUGGAACUGAAACACGGUCCAGACUCCUACGGGAGGCAGCAGUGGGGAAUUUUGCGCAAUGGGGGAAACCCUGACGCAGCAACGCCGCGUGGAGGAUGAAGUCCUUCGGGACGUAAACUCCUUUCGAUCGGGACGAUUAUGACGGUACCGGAAGAAGAAGCCCCGGCUAACUUCGUGCCAGCAGCCGCGGUAAUACGAGGGGGGCGAGCGUUGUUCGGAAUUAUUGGGCGUAAAGGGUGCGUAGGCGGUUUUGUAAGUC